GACGAACGCUGGCGGCGUGCUUAACACAUGCAAGUCGAACGGAAAGGCCCUGCUUUUGUGGGGUGCUCGAGUGGCGAACGGGUGAGUAACACGUGAGUAACCUGCCCUUGACUUUGGGAUAACUUCAGGAAACUGGGGCUAAUACCGGAUAGGAGCUCCUGCUGCAUGGUGGGGGUUGGAAAGUUUCGGCGGUUGGGGAUGGACUCGCGGCUUAUCAGCUUGUUGGUGGGGUAGUGGCUUACCAAGGCUUUGACGGGUAGCCGGCCUGAGAGGGUGACCGGCCACAUUGGGACUGAGGUACGGCCCAGACUCCUACGGGAGGCAGCAGGGGGAAAUAUUGCACAAUGGGCGGAAGCCUGAUGCAGCAACGCCGCGUGCGGGAUGACGGCCUUCGGGUUGUAAACCGCUUUCGCCUGUGACGAAGCGUGAGUGACGGUAAUGGGUAAAGAAGCACCGGCUAACUACGUG
rnacentral:rRNA from 1 species